CCUAGCCACCAUCCCCAUAUCCCAGCGCCCCUCCUUCACAGCCACCGCCAUGCUCCUGACUGGUUCUCCUCUCCCGUCGUCGAGCUUGCCUCCGCCGCUGCUCUCCCCUGUCCCUCUCGCACCACCAACGCGAAUCCUCCCAUGUACACGGUGAGCUCGACGAGCAAGGCUGACGUUUGGGCACUGCUAUACGAGGGCCAUGCCGAGAACGCCCUAGAGCAUGGCGGCCUCUGCUUCCGCUUCUCAUCCGAUGGGCACCUCCGCGUGUGCGACGACCUUGGUGCCACCGCUGUCACCACCAAUGCAGGGCCAAAGGCGACGGCUGCGCAUCGCCAUCACCAGGACGAGCGAUAAGGCCAGAGGCGACGGCCGCGCGUCGCCAUCACCGGGAGGAGCGGCGGCCGCCGAGACAGUCGUCCAUGUCUCUAGUGUCAUCGGCCUUCAGGGUGUUGUUCCUCUCAUCUCAGCUAUGGUUCUUGUCCUUCCUCUCACUUCUUUCUCUCCCGCCAUCGCCAUCCCCACCAGGAGCACACGGACGACUAAUCAGUCCAGGUCUGAGGCGGUGUGGUCUCGCAUCGCCCCACUCCCCUUCAAGAACACGGUGCCCUCACCUCCUCUCAUUGUUGGUGGUUUAGAUACGGGCCAUUGAUGAUCCUUGGUGGUGCCCUGGCCGCGACAAAGGAGGAGGCGCGACGCUGUGCGGGAGAUGGGGAGGUCGGGAGGAGGUUGUCGCAGUGGUGGGGCUGCACUUUGCGGCUUGCAAUGAGGCGGCCGUGGACGCCGCGGUGGAGGCGGCGUGGCGCUGCUUUGGCAACGGCGGGCUCAAACACCCUGGUUAACUGCUUCUCCUAUGAAGGGGAAGUGCAAGACUACCUCAGCAUAACUGAAGAGAGUACUCACACCUUGGCUGCUAAUAAAGGCGAUGGCGAAGUGGUUCCGGGAUGCGCAGUCCGGCGGUUUCAUGGUAUGCUUGACCCAGAUCAUCAGUGCUGCGAGAGGAUUCUACCCAAGGGCUGUGGCAUACUGCACGAGUUUAGGCUUUGUUCAUCAGCUCGUCAGAGUUAGCCUACCUUCCUGUUACAAAGAGGCUUAAAUGCUCACAGAAAUUCGGAAUGCCUACAUGAUCAUUAAUGUUCUUUGUUGCUGUCAUUCUUUGCUUCUGUCAAAGAAAAUCUUUGCUGUGAGCACAUUUGCACCAUUUAGUGAGCAUAUUUGCUUAUGAUAACCUUAUGAAGUUGUACUCUGCUUCAACUCAUGUUUCUACCCUAAUAUGUCUAACUGGUUCUUUUUAUUUUUUUCGUCGAGGUAUUCCAAGGCGGCGUGGCAGCACUGUGGACGACAUCAGCAUGACCAGAUCAGUGGUGAAAAUACUGUCUUUGUUAUGUCUCAUUCUGUUGAAUGAAUAGUUACUUUAUAUGAUGCUGGUUACGGUUUGUAUGGAGCUAACAACUGUUAUGUUUGCCUGCUAUUUGCAAAGUUUGUUGGCUUUGGUCUGCUACUACAACUUGCACAAUAAGUGCAAUCGGAUAAAUGACACAACGUGCACAAUAGCUACUUGAUAUGAGCUUGUGGAGAAACUUGAGGAAACAAGGUUAAUAGGAUGCAUUUCAGUAGAGCUUGAUCGUGCAGAUUUUCUUGAAUUAAAGCCUACUGAUAAAGCUAAGGUUUCUAUGGGUGAAAGGGGUUGUACCAAUUUACAGGACCCAAAGUGGCAGAAGAUUCUACAGCUGCGUAAACCAUCAGGUACUUCGUGAGUGAUGAUCAAUCAAUUCGAAGAACCACUUGCUUCGGCACUGUUAUUGCCCAACUAUGUAUUAUACCACUGGCUACCAAGCCGUUUUAGUGAAUUUCUAUUUGACCAUUCACCUUUUGUAGGAAUGUCUUGCUCUGAAUAUUAUGUUGCAUCAAAAUUGUUGGAUGCUCUCUCAGGCCUUGACUGCUUUGUAUAAAUAUACAGUAUAUAAAGCAUUCUGUGUUGGCCCUGUCUGUGGUUUGCU